rnacentral:rRNA from 1 species
AUGUUUAACAAAAAAUCUUUGAAUGAUGAGCAUGAUUACAAUGUUGUUGAUAUGAACUCUUUGAAUAUCCAUGAUGCUAACGAUAUGCAAAGCUACAAGCUUGGGGAUGCUAUGUUCGAUGAAGAUGAUAUUUCUUGUUCCCCAAGUUUUGAUGAGAAAAUUUAUUAUGAUGAUAGCAUGCCUCCUAUUUAUGAUGAUUAUAGUGAUGAAAGUGUAUUUAUAGAGACCAUGACUUUAGUUAGUGAUGAAUGCACUAUUUUGAAAGAUGUUUCAAUUGACUAUGAUAAAAAGUUCCUAUCUAUGAUGAUUAUGGUGAUGACAUGUAUGCUAUAA